CACUCUAAGGAGACUGCCGGUGACAACCGGAGGAAGGUGGGGAUGACGUCAAGUCAUCAUGGCCCUUACGGCCUGGGCUACACACGUGCUACAAUGGUCGGUACAAAGGGUUGCCAAGCCGCGAGGUGGAGCUAAUCCCAUAAAACCGAUCGUAGUCCGGAUCGCAGUCUGCAACUCGACUGCGUGAAGUCGGAAUCGCUAGUAAUCGUGAAUCAGAAUGUCACGGUGAAUACGUUCCCGGGCCUU
rnacentral:rRNA from 1 species